UACGUAGGGACCAAGCGUUGUUCGGAUUUACUGGCGUAAAGGGCGCGUAGGCGGCGUGGUAAGUCACUUGUGAAAUCUCUGAGCUUAACUCAGAACGGCCAAGUGAUACUGCUGUGCUAGAGUGCAGAAGGGGCAAUCGGAAUUCUUGGUGUAGCGGUGAAAUGCGUAGAUAUCAAGAGGAACACCUGAGGUGAAGACGGGUUGCUGGGCUGACACUGACGCUGAGGCGCGAAAGCCAGGGGAGCAAACGGG
rnacentral:rRNA from 1 species